GCGCCCGUAGCUCAGCUGGAUAGAGCGUUGCCCUCCGAAGGCAAAGGUCAGAAGUUCGAAUCUUCUCGGGCGCGCCA
rnacentral:tRNA from 1 species